rnacentral:sRNA from 1 species
GAGGCCCUGCAGCUGGUGAAGGAGGGGAGAGUGCCCUGCCGGACCCUCAGGACGGAGCUGCUGGGCUGCUACAGUGACCAGGACUUUCUGGCCAAGCUGCACUGUGUGCGGCAGGCCUUCGAGGGGCUUCUGGAAGACAAGAGUAACCAGCUUUUCUUCGGGAAAGUAGGCCGACAGAUGGUGACAGGCCUGAUGACCAAGGCUGAGAAGAGCCCCAAAGGCUUCCUGGAGAGCUACGAGGAGAUGCUGAGCUAUGCCCUGCGGCCCGAGACCUGGGCCACGACACGGCUGGAGCUGGAGGGCCGAGGGGUGAGUUGCUUUGUGCUGAACCCCGACAUCCCGGGCUCCCCUGCAUCUGAGCAGCAAGGGGGUUCCUGUGCCGGGCUCUACCUCAGUUCCAAGCGGCUGAGACGGUUCCAUCACUGCUCAUAGUCCCCGGUUCCUGCCCUGCC